rnacentral:misc_RNA from 1 species
UCCUGGUUAACCCAGGCAGUCUCACUAGAGUUCCCACCUUAUAGUGUUGGCAACUAGUGAUAAGGGUUGCGCUCGUUGCGGGACUUAACCCAACACCUCACGGCACGAGCUGACGACAGCCAUGCAGCACCUGUUCAGCAGCCCUUGCGGGAAAAUGUAUCUCUACAUCGGUCUCCUGUAUGUCAAGUCUGGGUAAGGUUCUUCGCGUUGCAUCGAAUUAAACCACAUGCUCCACUGCUUGUGCGGGCCCCCGUCAAUUCUUUUAAGUUUCACCCUUGCGAGUGUACUCCCCAGGCGGUAUACUUAUCGCGUUAGCUACGAUACAGUCGGGGUUGAAUCCAACUACACCAAGUAUACAUCGUUUACGGCAAGGACUAC